UAUAGGUUUAAUGCCCGUUUGCACCAGUUUAGCUUAAAGUUUUGGUUUAACUAAACUUGGCUUUCGUUUAAACCGGGCUUAAGAUCUAUGAGCGUUGCACCACUAUCGGCUUAACAAAGCGCUACAUUAACCACUGUUUCCGUAAAAGCGCCUUUGCAGUAGUGGUUUCUGACAGUAUUUUGACAGAUGGCAGUAUAUCUAACAUAACCUUCAACUGUAAAGCAAUAGCCUUGUUGUGUAAACAAUAGUUAGCCGUUACAUUUUGCAGUCGCGUGGUGUUGUUUUUAUUAGUAGCUACUAUAGUGGUCUAUGCUUUUGGGAUCAAAAUAAACUUUUGGUUUAAUACCUAUUUAUUGUAAAAUUAUUAGUGAAAAGAAAGAAAGUUGGGUUAACCGUAGAAGACCAGCAUUAUCUGCCACCGAAUCGGUCGCCCGGAAAUAUGAAGAUAUGGCAGUUACACGAGCGGAAGUGGCAAAACUACAGUUAAAGAUUUUGCAGCAUAAGCUACAACAGCAGACCAAGGAAGCUGAAGCUUCAGCUAAGUUGUUGCAGCUCCAAAUUGAAACAGCUGAAUUGCAAAAAAAAAGUGCUUUAUUAGAUGUUAAAAUAAAAGAAAAACAAUUGCAAAAAUUAGAAGAAAUGUAACAGCAUUAUAUCUAGUUUAAAUAAACGUAUUUUUAUAAUUGUCCAAAA